rnacentral:rRNA from 1 species
UGAGGAAUAUUGGUCAAUGGGCGAGAGCCUGAACCAGCCAAGUCGCGUGAAGGAAGACUGCCCGCAAGGGUUGUAAACUUCUUUUGUAUGGGAUUAAAGUCACCUACGUGUAGGUGUUUGCAGUUACCAUACGAAUAAGCGCCGGCUAACUACGUGCCAGCAGCCGCGGUAAUACGUAGGGCGCAAGCGUUAUCCGGAAUUAUUGGGCGUAAAGAGCUUGUAGGCGGUUCGUCGCGUCUGGUGUGAAAGCCCAUCGCUUAACGGUGGGUUUGCGCCGGGUACGGGCGGGCUAGAGUGCAGUAGGGGAGACUGGAAUUCCCGGUGUAACGGUGGAAUGUGUAGAUAUCGGGAAGAACACCAAUGGCGAAGGCAGGUCUCUGGGCUGUUACUGACGCUGAGAAGCGAAAGCGUGGGGAGCGAACAGG